AGGACGGUUCGAGUAAGUGAUAUUUCGGAACAGAAUCUAGUUCCUUCAAUUGAAGGAACUAGAUUCUGUUCCGAAAUAUCACUUACUCGAUG